rnacentral:rRNA from 1 species
CACCGCGGUUAAACGAGAGGCCCCAGUUGAUUUUACCACGGCGUAAAGGGUGGUUAAGGAAAACAAAUAAUAAAGCCAAAUGGCCCUUUGGCCGUCAUACGCUUCUAGGUGUCCGAAGCCCAACCAUACGAAAGUAGCUUUAACAAAAUUUGCCUGACCCCACGAAAGCUAAGAAA